rnacentral:rRNA from 1 species
AACGAACGCUGGCGGCAUGCCUAACACAUGCAAGUCGAACGAGACCUUCGGGUCUAGUGGCGCACGGGUGCGUAACGCGUGGGAACCUGCCCUUAGGUUCGGAAUAACUCCCCGAAAGGGGUGCUAAUACCGGAUAAUGUCUUCGGACCAAAGAUUUAUCGCCUUUGGAUGGGCCCGCGUUGGAUUAGCUAGUUGGUAGGGUAAAAGCCUACCAAGGCGACGAUCCAUAGCUGGUCUGAGAGGAUGAUCAGCCACACUGGGACUGAGACACGGCCCAGACUCCUACAGGAGGCAGCAGUGGGGAAUAUAGGACAAUGGGCGAAAGGCUGAUCCAGCAAUGCCGCGUGAGUGAUGAAGGCCUUAGGGUUGUAAAGCUCUUUUACCCGGGAUGAUAAUGACAGUACCGGGAGAAUAAGCGCCGGCUAACUCCGUG